CUCAGAGCCUUCAGAAGAUGGUAGGCCACAGAAAGAGAAAAGCCUCCCUGACCCCAGUUCAGCUCGCACUCCUCCCAGUACGCCGAUUAAAAUAGAGGAAGGAGAUGGAUAUGCUAAAGAAUACCUGUUACCAUACAGGCUUCUUCAGUUGAGAUGUUGAUUUCUUUAGUUCUCAAUUCCAUGUAAUUCCAGGCAGUUGUAGAUCUCAUGUUAAAGUGCACUCCCCUUUUGAGAGAGACUGUGAAAGUCACCUUCCGUGUUUCCAUAUCUGUGUGUCCAACUCCUCAAUUUAAAAAGGAAUAGUCUGAAGUUGCCUGGCAGAUAUAGCUGAAACAGCCCUGGGAGUUUCUGCCCCAACACUUUGCUGCUGCCCACACAGCUCGGGCCUGGAAACAAAGCAGAAGAGUUCCUAAUCUAUUCCUGAGCAAAAUCCACUGACAUGGACUUACCUUUACCCAGCAGACUUUUGCAUGGAAAUGGAUAUGGGACUACUCCUAUGUUUUGUGUUAAUUUUAGGGAAUUUGAAUUCCAGCCAAGGAAUAGCAGCAAGUACUUGGUGGCAGCAACUUCUACAGCUGUUUUGGCUGGCUCUGCAGGGCUCCUUCGGAUUAUGCUUUAAAGGAACAAUGAUGUUUGUAUGUCCUGUUAUAUCCAAAAGUCAGUGUGUUUGUCAUAGGUGUGAAAGUCAAACGAUAUUGUAGACACCUGUGAUGUUACUGAUGAAGUUCUAAAACCUGAAAGUUCUUUUAAACAAGAAUUGUGUUUGACAAACUCUUCUAGUUGUAUAAGUUUUCCAGGACAAACAUACAAAGCUUAUUUUAGAGAGUUAGUGGAAGUUCACACCAUGAUGACUUCAGUUGGGGGAGGUUCUGUUGAAUGACAAUGUUUUCAGUAUAUAACCUCUUCUUAACUUUGAUUCAUCAUAUUCUUUCUGUUUAAGUGUAGCUGAAAUCAGUCAAGUGUUUUUUUACUCAGUUAUAGCCUAGUUUGUAUGUUUGUCCACAUCUUUGUGUUGAAAAAGAAACCAAAUCAAAGCCCCAUAAACCUUUAUUUUAAUCGAUUAUGUGAAUUGUAAGCACACACCAGUGUUGAUGUUAUGCUUCAAAAUCUUAAGCUACAGUAUAAUUUAUAUGUAAAGGGAGAGCAUAGAUGUAAACAUUAUUAUGUAAAAAAAGCUUUUAAAAUCUUCAGGUGCUGCUGAGUUAUUAACCUGUAAAUAAGGUUUUGCAGCAAGAAAUGUGUUUUUAAAGCUUUCUAGUUAUGUUACUCAUAUCCAUCCAGUAGAGUAGCAGGGUGUUGGCAUAUUAUGUUCUGGCUUAAUUGAAUGUGGAAUUUGUAAAUGUUCCAAAUUCUGGUAAAAUAUUCCCCUUAGCAAAGUAGAUAAAGAGAUGUUUGCUUGAUUCCAGCAUCACAUUAAUCUAUUUAUUAAGGAUAAUGGGAACUCGACAAUCUGGGAAGGAUGGCAGUCCUGGGUUAAUGAGUUAUGAACCCAUUUAUAUUUAUUCAAUGCUCAGGCCAGCUGGCAAAUAAUAUUUGAAUGGCUGUAGCUUCCUAUUCUCUAAUUUGAAGAAUCACUAGUCCCUUUUUUAGAACUUCAAAACUGUCUUUUAAACUUAACUUAAAAAAUAUAUAUACACCUGACAGUCCAAUAUGAUGCCUGUUUUAAAAAUUGGGCUAUCUAAUGAAUAGAAUAUAAUAUUUUUAAUAUGUAAGGGACCUGCAAUGACCAUCGAGUCCAACUACCUGAUCCAGUUCAGGGCUGACCAAAAGUUAAAGCUAACUGUCCUAAUGCCUCUUGAACACUGACAGGCCUGGGGCCUUCACCAGCUCUCAGUAAGUGGGAAGCCUAUUCCAAUGUCUUACCACCCUCUCAGUAAAGAAAUGCUUCCCAAAGUCCUGUCUAAACCUCCCCUGGUGCAGCUUUGAGCCAUUCCCACACAUCCUGUCACUGGAUCCCAGGGAGAAGAGCUCAGCAAUAUUUUCAGUUAAUUCCUGAAAAGUCCAAAAGCAGGGUGGUGGUAGUGAAGAACUGUAAUUGGUGUUUCUUAUGAAUUUGUGUCUGCCAUACAUAGGCUAAACUACAGCUUCAGGAGGCAGCUUGUACCAUACAUAACUGCUUUCUCUUUUUUGCUCUGAUUUAAAUUCUUCCUGCUCUAUAACUAUUAAACUGCUAACUUGUGCAUUCUGAGUGUUUGGCACUGGAUACUAGUGUGUGGUGUUUAUUUAACCUAUUAGAAGUUCACGGUGCUCUAGGCAAAACAUGUUUGUUUCCUAGCAGGUAUUCACAAAACAGAGCUAUCUAAAAUAUAUCAGAGAAUUAUUAAUCCCAUCUGACAGAAGUAAAAAGAACACUCUCAUUUUUAUAGGAAAAAUGUUAAAGUAUCAAGUAUUUUAUAUAAAUUCUUGUGAAAGUCUUCAGUCUUUUCAAAUUAAAACAAACAAGAUCUUGAAAGGAGGAAAAAAUAGUCGCCUUUCAUUUGUGCCUCACAAUGAGCAUGGCCUGGAUUUUGCUCUAAAUUCCUCCUUACGUAACAUCAGUGGGGAUAGAUGUGGCACAGCUAACAGGACACGGCUGCGGUGCACGGAGAGCACUGCAGGGAACUCCACAGAGUGCUCCUUGUUGAACCCAUGCACAAAGAGGAGCCUUAAACAGAACCUCCCUAAAGCACAGCGGUGAGUGGGGACAGUGUUGCAGUUGAGGGAGGAGUGGUUCAGUUCCCCUUUGGACAUACAGCUACCACUGGACUCCUGAUGUUCCCUUUUACAGGAGACACGGCAGGACCAGACCUACAGAGAUGACAGUGAUGCUGCAACCUUCAAGCAAACCCUCCCAGAUCUCACCCCCGAUGAGCCUUCGGAAGCACUCGGCUUCCCUCCCUUAGGAAAGGAGGAAGGGAGAUGUGAUCA